rnacentral:rRNA from 1 species
AUUGAACGCUGGCGGCAGGCCUAACACAUGCAAGUCGAGCGGAUGAAGGGUGCUUGCUCCUGGUUUCAGCGGCGGACGGGCGAGUAAUGGCUAGGAACCUGCCUGGUAGUGUGGGAUAACGGCCGGAAACGGGCGCUAAUACCGCAUACGUCCUGAGGGCGAAAGUGUGAGAUCUUCGGACCUCACGCUCUCAGAUGAGCCUAGGUCGGAUUAGCUAGUUGGCGGGGUAAAGGCCUACCAAGGCGACGAUCCGUAACUGGUCUGAGAGGAUGAUCAGUCACACUGGAACUGAGACACGGUCCAGACUCCUACGGGAGGCAGCAGUGGGGAAUAUUGAACAACGGGCGCAAGCCUGAUCCAGCCAUGCCGCGUGUGUGAAGAAGGUCUUCGGAUUGUAAAGCACUUUUGGUGGGGAGGAAGAGCAGUAAGUUAAUACCUCGCUGUUUUGACGUUACCAACAGAAUAAGCACCGGCUAACUUCGUG